rnacentral:rRNA from 1 species
UACGGGGGGGGCAAGCGUUGUUCGGAAUUACUGGGCGUAAAGGGCCAGUAGGCGGCCAACUAAGUCGGAUGUGAAAUCCCCAGGCUCAACUUGGGAACUGCAUCCGAUACUGGAUGGCUUGAAUUCGGGAGAGGGAUGCAGAAUUCCAGGUGUAGCGGUGAAAUGCGUAGAUAUCUGGAGGAAUACCGGUGGCGAAGGCGGCAUCCUGGACCGACAUUGACGCUGAAAACCGAAAGCUAGGGGAGCAAACAGG